CCUACGGGAGGCUGCAGUGAGGAAUAUUUGUCAAUGGACGAGAGUCUGAACCAGCCAAGUAGCGUGAAGGAUGACUGCCCUAUGGGUUGUAACCUUCUUUUAUAAAGGAAUACAACGAGGCACGUGUGCCUUUUUGCAUGUACUUUAUGAAUAAGGAUCGGCUAACUCCGUGCCAGCAGCCGCGGUAAUACGGAGGAUCCGAUCGUUAUCCGGAUUUAUUGGGUUUAAAGGGAGCGUAGAUGGGUUGUUAAGUCAGUUGUGAAAGUUUGCGGCUCAACCGUAAAAUUGCAAUUGAUACUGGCAGUCUUGAGUACAGUUGAGGUAGGCGGAAUUCGUGGUGUAGCGGUGAAAUGCUUAGAUAUCACGAAGAACCCCGAUUGCGAAGGCAGCUUACUAAACUGUGACUGACAUUGAUGCUCGAAAGUGUGGGUAUCAAACAGGAUUAGAUACCCGAGUAGUC
rnacentral:rRNA from 1 species